rnacentral:rRNA from 1 species
AGAGUUUGAUCAUGGCUCAGAGCGAACGCUGGCGGCAGGCUUAACACAUGCAAGUCGAGCGGAUGUAGCAAUACAUCAGCGGCAGACGGGUGAGUAACACGUGGGAACGUACCUUUUGGUUCGGAACAACACAGGGAAACUUGUGCUAAUACCGGAUAAGCCCUUACGGGGAAAGAUUUAUCGCCGAAAGAUCGGCCCGCGUCUGAUUAGCUAGUUGGUGAGGUAAUGGCUCACCAAGGCGACGAUCAGUAGCUGGUCUGAGAGGAUGAUCAGCCACAUUGGGACUGAGACACGGCCCAAACUCCUACGGGAGGCAGCAGUGGGGAAUAUUGGACAAUGGGCGCAAGCCUGAUCCAGCCAUGCCGCGUGAGUGAUGAAGGCCCUAGGGUUGUAAAGCUCUUUUGUGCGGGAAGAUAAUGACGGUACCGCAAGAAUAAGCCCCGGCUAACUUCGUGCCAGCAGCCGCGGUAAUACGAAGGGGGCUAGCGUUGCUCGGAAUCACUGGGCGUAAAGGGUGCGUAGGCGGGUCUUUAAGUCAGGGGUGAAAUCCUGGAGCUCAACUCCAGAACUGCCUUUGAUACUGAAGAUCUUGAGUUCGGGAGAGGUGAGUGGAACUGCGAGUGUAGAGGUGAAAUUCGUAGAUAUUCGCAAGAACACCAGUGGCGAAGGCGGCUCACUGGCCCGAUACUGACGCUGAGGCACGAAAGCGUGGGGAGCAAACAGAAUUAGAUACCCUAGUAGUCC